GCCGGGCGUGGUGGCUCAUGCCCGUAAUCCCAGCACUUUGGGAGGCUGAGGCAGGUGGAUCACUUGAGGUCAGGAGUUCGAGACCAGCCUGGCCAACAUGGUGAAACCCUGUCUCUA
rfam:Pan troglodytes isolate Yerkes chimp pedigree #C0471 (Clint) chromosome 16, whole genome shotgun sequence.